rnacentral:rRNA from 1 species
AUACGGAGGAUCCGAGCGUUAUCCGGAUUUAUUGGGUUUAAAGGGUGCGCAGGCGGCCAUUUAAGUCAGCGGUUAAAUCGUGGGGCUCAACCCCAUUCUGCCGUUGAUACUGGGUGGCUUGAUUGCGGUCGAGGUUGGCGGAAUUCGUUGUGUAGCGGUGAAAUGCAUAGAUAUGACGAAGAACACCGAUUGCGUAGGCAGCUGACCAGACCGCAAAUGACGCUCAUGCACGAAAGUGCGGGGAUCGAACAGGAUUAGAUACCCUGGUAGUCCGCACAGUAAACGAUGAAUACUUGUUUUCGGCGAUAUAAUGUCGGAGGCAAAGCGAAAGCGAUAAGUAGUCCACCUGGGGAGUACGCCGGCAACGGUGAAACUCAAAGGAAUUGGCGGG